rnacentral:rRNA from 1 species
UGAGGAACAUGACUUUCGGCGGGGGAUAGCCGGCCCAACGGCCGGGUAAUACCGCGUACGACCUCUCGGGGACAUCCCCGGUUGGUGAAAGCAGCAAUGCACCGAAAGAGUGCCUCGCGGCCUAUCAGCUAGUUGGUGGGGUAACGGCUCACCAAGGCGACGACGGGUAGCUGGUCUGAGAGGUAUGGCCAGCCACAUUGGGACUGAGACACGGCCCAGACUCCGUACGGGGAGGCAG